ACGGGCACGGAUGCCCGUGGUUCCAAACAGCAGCGAUGUUUUAAAGCAAAAUAGUUUAUAAAAGCUUUAAAACUCGCAAGGUAUAAUUUUGCCAUGGACGGCAAAAUUAUACCGAGG
rnacentral:sRNA from 1 species